ACGUAAUUCUGAGCAGGAAGAUAUGGAGCUUCCACCUGGGGGCGAGUUUUGCUUGUUUUGUGAACAUAGGAUGUAAGGAAGCCAACUUGGACAACAAACAUCAUCAGAAAGGGAUGAACCAGGGUCAUUCCACAGUGUUCGAUAUACUGUAAUACACGUCAUUGGCAGUGCCAUUCAGAGGUGGACUUGCUGGUGUGUUUUGGAUCAUUGUCCUUCUGCAGAACCCAAGUUCCUUUCAGCUUGAGGUCAUGAACAGAUGGCCGGACAUUCUCAUUCAGGAUUUUUUGGUACACUGCAGAAUUCAUCACAGCAAGUCUUCCAGGUCCUGAAGCAGCAAAACAGCCCCAGACCAUCACACUACCACCACCGUAUUUUACUGUUGCUAUGAUGUUCUUUUUCUGAAAUGCGGCGUUACUUUUACGCCAGAUGUAAUGGGACACACACUUUCCAAAAUGUUUGUUUUGUUGGACCACAGAGUAUUUUCCCAAAGGUCUUGGGACUCAUCAAGAUGUUUUCUGGCAAAAUUGAGAUGAGCCUUAAUGUUCUUUUUGUUCAGCAGUGGUUUUUGUCUUGGAACUCUGCCAUGCAGGCCCUUGUUGCACAGUGUCUUUUUUUAUGGUGGAGUCAUGAACACUGACCUUAACCGAGGCAAGGGAGGCCUGCAGUUAUUUGGAUGUUGUUGUGGGGUCUUUUGUGACCUCUUGGAUAAGUCAUCGCUGCACUCUUGGGGUAAUUUUGGUUUGGCCAGUCACUCCAGGGAAGGUUCACCACUGUUCCAUGUUUUUGCCAUUUGUGGAUAACGGCUCUCACUGUGGUUCACUGGAGUCCCAAAGCUUCAGAAAUGGCUUUAUAACCUUUUCCAGACUGGUAGAUCUUAAUCUUAGUUAAGUUUUUCAAAAAAUAACAAAUCAUAAAGGGGGCAAACACUUUUUCAGUCAUCACACCACUUAAGCUGACCCAUGAAGCUUACAAUUCCCACUGAAUGAGCCAUUCACAACAACAUGAUAAGGAUAAGCAGUAGCACAUUAGCGUCUUUCAUCAUUCCCUGUCCUCAUCUUCCUGUAGAACCUUGUGAUGUUCCUCAGUUACCAAAUAUGGCCGCAUAAUUGAGUAGCCAUUCCAAUGCAUCCAGAGUUGGGUCACGCUGACUUUACAUUCUGUGUGAUGUGUGAGUUUAAGAAUAAUUAGUAAGGGAGAGUGACGCAGCCGAUAAUAAAGUCAUGAAGAGACUGGUUGUUGAGGGACUUGUUGUAGCAUGCUGACUCACUUACUGUGAAGUAAUGUAAUCGUGCGGCUCGCUGCGUGAUUCAGUCACACUGACGUGGAUGUGAGUGUGCAUAUUAAGUCAGUCAGGUGCUCAAUUUAGGAAUGUAACUGUGUGGCUUGUGGCUUGAACACAAAACGCAAGUGAAGUGGUUGUAUUAGAAAUUGGUAACUGUUUGUGCAGCUACCUAUCCCUGACCUCUGGUUGGACUGCUUCUUCCAGAUCCAAUUUCCUACUAUUUGUGUCUGUUUCCAUGACAUUUCUCAACUUGAGUGUGUAAGGAAAACAUGCUUUGAGCGAUUUUAGGAUCCGUGUCCAAAAUUGCUGUCUUCAAUUAACAUUUCAUGCUGUGUGGGUGAGUGGAGGAAGUUUAUGUUAGCAAUGUUAUACGCCGGCCUGUUUUAUAGAGGAAGGCUUGGUGACGUAUAUUUAGCCAAGGUGAACGCCGUUAGCCUUCAGUGCACAACCACAACACUGUUUUUCCUAAAUGGAUUAGUAAAUGAGUAUUAUUCCACAUAUUUGUUGUUUUUUUGUCAGGAAAAGGGAUUAAAAGUUGAACUAUUGAAACACAUCACAUUUUCAGACCAAUUGCUAAUGAACACACGACUAACAGAGCUGCCGUUUUAAUUCAUAUAUUUCAUAUUGAAGGUCAGAUGGAAAUGCACCUGGCAUCUUUUUACCAAUAAAACAUUGCUUUUGGAAAUAAUUACUGUUGUACUCAUAAGACAAACAAGUAAAAGGGAAAUGAAAGGCAAAGUAACAGAUUUUUAGAAAUUAAAGGUUUCAUAUUACAGUGUACUGUUUUGCAGCCAUUUUAAAUAAGUCUCGGAGGUUCCACAAUAGUGUGUAGGAAGUGCGUUACCUAAAAUCUGUUGUUUGUUUGUAGAAAGCCCUAUCGGGGACACACAAUAUUGUAUGUCUGUAGCUUUAAUGCUCAUGAGCUGUUUGUCCACGCCUGUGUCUCCAAGAAGUGGUGCUGGGUACUUUAUCCACUUUUUAUAUAUACAUUCGUCCCUCGUUUAUCAUGGUUAAUUGGUUCCAGACCCGACAGCGAUUAGUGAAUUUCCGUGAAGUAGGAUUCAAUAUUAAUAAACCAAAUAUUUUUGUAAUUAGAGCAUAGAAAAACUGUUUAUGACUUCUUGAGUUAGAGCCCUGUAGACAUGAAAUAACACCCCUAUAGUCACUUUUUUACAUUGUUCUUUGUUUACACCACAUUGGGCGGGCUAUGAGAUCACUGCAGACGAGACGGCCGCCGCUAGCAUAGCAAGCUACCAAUUUACUUAUUCUAAACUUAAUGUUUUAAACAGAGGAGUUAAAAAGGACAAAGUAAAAAGCUAAAAACUUACCACUUCCACACGUCAUGGGAGGAGAACUUUUUUUCACUUUGUCAUGUCAGACUAGGGAUGUAAUGAUUUAGUAUUAAUGAUUGACCGCGGUAAAACUGCGACUAAAACCCGACUGUUUCAGAUUAAAAUUAACGGAAAACCGUGAUUGAUAAACUCACGGACCAGUGACCGUGCUCAUUUCCUGGAUGUAAACAAAACUUGUUGCUUUCGAAAAUGGCGCCCGUGGCCCUCAAUGCGUUGCACAAUCAAUCAUGUGCCCUUUUGAGACCAAGAAGCAGGUUUGGUGAUCAUUUAAGUUUUC